rnacentral:rRNA from 1 species
UGGGGAAUAUUGCACAAUGGGGGAAACCCUGAUGCAGCGACGCCGCGUGAGUGAAGAAGUAUUUCGGUAUGUAAAGCUCUAUCAGCAGGGAAGAAAACAAGGAUCGAAGAUCCUUGAGACGGUACCUGACUAAGAAGCCCCGGCUAACUCCGUGCCAGCAGCCGCGGUAAUACGUAGGGGGCAAGCGUUAUCCGGAUUUACUGGGUGUAAAGGGAGCGUAGACGGUGAAGCAAGUCUGAAGUGAAAGGCCGGGGCCCAACCCCGGGACUGCUUUGGAAACUGUUUGACUGGAGUACAGGAGAGGUAAGUGGAAUUCCUAGUGUAGCGGUGAAAUGCGUAGAUAUUAGGAGGAACACCAGUGGCGAAGGCGGCUUACUGGACUGUAACUGACGUUGAGGCUCGAAAGCGUGGGGAGCAAACAGG